GAAGGUAUAAUUGUUUCAGUCCGUAGUCUUGGAUAGACACUUAUUCCUCGUGCCGGUUGGAUUAACUCUCAACCAGCUCUCUUACAUAUUUAAAAGUAUAUCUUCUUUUAAAUACAAUAAUAUAUCGUUAUUCGUAGCGUGAUGCAGAUAAAAUGAUGAGCAACAAUAUUAUAAGUAAGAAAGAGUAUGAACUUGGGACGUAGGGCGUUUGCGUUGCCUCGAACAAUCAAGAACGCUUUGAUAUCAAUCGAUCAGUCAAUUAAUCAAAAAUUUAAAUGUCAAUUCAUAGCAUUGACGAGCGUUUAGUUUUCAUAGCUCAUCUCACCUGGUUUCCUUCAAAAUUAUCACAGGGAUUGGUCGAGACUGUGGGCGUUUUAUCAAUUUACUCAUCAAAAUCGCGUUCUUCUGACAAAUGAACUGUAAUAAACAUUUUGUUCCCAACUUUUUCCUUGUAUUAUG